UCCCCCGCCCCUCCCGCGCGAUCCUGGGCGGCGCACGCGCGGUGCGGCGGCGCGAGCCCUGGACGGCCGGCGCACGCGCGGUGCGGCGGCGGGCAAAAUGGCGGCGAGCAGUGGCCCCGGUUCCUCCCCAGCGCGGGCCGGGUCGUGCGCUCGCCCCUGCGGACGCAGCCUGGAGGAGUGUGUACGGGGGGUGUCUGCGCGGGGGUCUGGAUGUCUCCAGCAGCGGCACGGCAGCCUCGUCUGGGACGCGGGGUCCUUCGCAGCUCUUCUGGGAUGCGGGGCCCUUGCCCACCGAAGGGGGACGUCUCGAAGAGAAGCAGCAAGACCUGGGGAUCCGGUGGUUCAUUUUGGUCGUCGCCUGUGAGGCCAGCGUCCGAGCGUAAGAGGAAGCUAGGAGCUGUCUCAAAAAGAGAUGGAACCGAGGACAGCAAAUGCUGACGAAGAGAAGAGACGGACAAGCGUUUUCUUGUGGUUAAUACCGAAGGGACGGGAUGAAACGAGGAAGCCAGAAUGCAGCGGCCCCUCGAUAUCACCAGGAACUGCUGCAGGAGGAGGCGUUCUGGCACGGGUAACUAAGGCAGCUACGGAAAGGAAUAGAUGUCAUCCUUACUUUUUUAGAUUAAUUGCCACGGCUGAAGUUGAAGAGACCAAGAAAGGUACGCACCGAAAGGGCACAUCUUGAAGAGAGGCGGCUAGACCUAGCGACCCAGUUGUUCGUUUUGGUCGUCGCCUGUGAGGCCAGCAUCCGAGCGUAAGAGGAAGCUAGGAGCUGUCUCAAAAAGAGAUGGAACCGAGGACAGCAAAUGCUGACGAAGAGAAGAGACGGACAAGCGUUUUCUUGUGGUUAAUACCGAAGGGACGGGAUGAAACGAGGAAGCCAGAAUGCAGCAGCCCCUCGAUAUCACCAGGAACUGCUGCAGGAGGAGGCGUUCUGGCACGGGUAACUAAGGUAAGUAUCGCUGAUGACCGUUAUUAGUUAUUUUGGCCUCCCCGAGGCAGCGCUGAGGACUAAGUAACCUGAGGGGCUCUGGCCUGGGCUAGGGCAGAAGUGCAGGCAGGCGGGAUCAGGCAUUUUCCUCUCAGCUCUCCGAGCUGAAUCGUAGCCCCGAAGGAAAAAGCAUUGGGGGGAGGCUGUCGGCUACUCGGACACCUGCCACGUCGAGGGCAGGGGCAGGAGCUGACCCUUCCCGGACGGACGGACAGACGGACAGACGCUGGUGCGGCGGUGACUCUUUGGGUAUCGCAGGUAAGGGGAGGCACGCUGGUGCCGAGCUCCAGGGCGGUUUGCCUGAAGACGAUGCCCGGAGGAGGAGGUUACGCGUUGUGUCCGGGGCUGGGAGCUGGUCCCCGAGUCCCGUGUACUUUGGGGUGCCUGCGCUUGCCAGGGAGCCCGGUGCUGUUCCCAGAGCUGCGGGGAAUUUCCCUUGCGUUGCCUGGACCCUCGGGGCUCUUGGGGGUGUUUCCCCUCAUCGCGAGGGCAGCCAGAGCCCCUCCAGGGCUGCGUGAGGUCCCCGAACCGCUCCCGGAUUUGCUUUUGGCACUCCGCAGUGUCGCUCGUGUGCCUGGGGCAGUCUGCAGGCGCCAUCCUGUCAGCCGCGUUGAGCCCUGCGGCGUGCCUCGUGAGCCCUCUGGUGUGCGCCAAGGCCCUUCCUCUGUAUUUUGGUCUGCCCCAGAGCCCUGCACUUGCCCUCUGAUGCCCUCAGGACCCCUCAGUUCACAUUCUGGGUUGCCCCCGAGCCCU